CCUACGGGCGGCAGCAGUGAGGAAUAUUGGUCAAUGGACGAGAGUCUGAACCAGCCAAGUAGCGUGAAGGAUGACUGCCCUAUGGGUUGUAAACUUCUUUUAUAUAGGAAUAAAAUGUUCCACGUGUGGGAUUUUGUAUGUACCAUAUGAAUAAGGAUCGGCUAACUCCGUUCCAGCAGCCGCGGUAAUACGGAGGAUCCGAGCGUUAUCCGGAUUUAUUGGGUUUAAAGGGAGCGUAGGUGGAUUGUUAAGUCAGUUGUGAAAGUUUGCGGCUCAACCGUAAAAUUGCAGUUGAAACUGGCAGUCUUGAGUACAGUAGAGGUGGGCGGAAUUCGUGGUGUAGCGGUGAAAUGCUUAGAUAUCACGAAGAACUCCGAUUGCGAAGGCAGUUCACUGGACUGCAACUGACACUGAGGCUCGAAAGUGUGGGUAUCAAACAGGAUUAGAUACCCUUGUAGUC
rnacentral:rRNA from 1 species